rnacentral:lncRNA from 1 species
UAUGUACAUUUAAGGAUAUUUAGGUACAAUAAGCCCUCAUAGGCAUAUAUAUUAUAUUCUGUACUUCCGUGUAAUAACUCAUAGUAUGUUUACUCGUUUUACCUAUGUGCUCCUUGUAGGUAGGACUUACUUUUAGGAAGCAAUUUCCCCUUAAAUCAUAUUGACUAUUGAUCCAGUCAGUAGGUCAUCCCACCCUCCAUCUCUUCCUGGAUAGUAAAGGAGGAGGCCUCUAGGUAAGGAAGAAAUGAUGCCCAAGGAAAAAACAGAAGGUGAUGAGUAGAUAAUACUUUUAUUUUUAUGUAGGUAGUAGGAAUUAUACUUACACAUAAACAGGAAACCAUGUCUGAAGGUUACUACUCCAUUCAAUUGGGUUACCACUACAACAGGAUUAUUAUUUUUUUGUUUUUGCAAUGUAUGUAUGUAGACUUUGUGGUUUUGUUUUCUUUGGUUGCAAUUCUUUUCUAUCUAUUCGGAUAAUUAUUAUUCGUUACUCAAGCAUUUACUUUUGCUGAAAUAUAAUGAUGUAGCAAGUUAA